UAAUUGGAACCGGAAGAGAAUUAUUGAGAUUUUUCCUGUAUUUUCAGUAUAAAAGGCAGGUGUUGAUGUGGAUCACACAGGUGGCUAGGUGACAUUUCGAGAUGAAGUUCGUAGCGUUGUUUGUGGCCGUGCUGGCUAUCGUGUUUGCCGUUGUGAGCGGCAUGGGCAUCGGCGGCAACGCGGCGUUGUCGCACAACAAGGAGAAGGCCGGUUGCGGUGGCGGCGGUGGCGGCGGCGGCGGACCCCCACCACCACCCCCCUCUAACAGCUCGGGUUAAUCUUCCGGUACAGCAUCCUCACAACCAUGCCUCAAAUAAAAUAAGUAGCAUCAUCA